AGCGAACGCUGGCGGCAGGCCUAACACAUGCAAGUCGAACGAACUCUUCGGAGUUAGUGGCGGAAGGGCGAGUAACACGUGGGAACGUGCCUUUUGGUUCGGAAUAACUCAGGGAAACUUGUGCUAAUACCGAAUGUGCCCUUCGGGGGAAAGAUUUAUCGCCAUUAGAGCGGCCCGCGUCUGAUUAGCUAGUUGGUGAGGUAACGGCUCACCAAGGCUACGAUCAGUAGCUGGCCUGAGAGGAUGACCAGCCACACUGGUACUGAGACACGGCCCAGACUCCUACGAGAGGCAGCAGUGGGGAAUCUUGCGCAAUGGGCGAAAGCCUGACGCAGCCAUGCCGCGUGAAUGAUGAAGAUCUUAGGAUUGUAAAAUUCUUUCACCGGGGACGAUAAUGACGGUACCCGGAGAAGAAGCCCCGGCUAACUUCGUG
rnacentral:rRNA from 1 species